UACGUAGGGUGCAAGCGUUGUCCGGAAUUAUUGGGCGUAAAGAGCUCGUAGGUGGCCUGUCGCGUCGGCUGUGAAAACUCGGGGCUCAACUCCGAGCUUGCAGUCGAUACGGGCAGGCUAGAGUUCGGCAGGGGAGACUGGAAUUCCUGGUGUAGCGGUGGAAUGCGUAGAGAUCCGGAAGAACACCAGUGGCGAAGGCGGCCCGCUGGGCAGUGGCUGACGCUGAGGCGCGACAGCGUGGGGAGCAAACAGG
rnacentral:rRNA from 1 species